rnacentral:rRNA from 1 species
GGUAGGUACUCGAGUGGCGAACGGGUGAGUAACACGUGGGUGAUCUGCCCUGCACUCUGGGAUAAGCCUGGGAAACUGGGUCUAAUACCGGAUAGGACCAUGCUUUAGUGUGUGUGGUGGAAAGUUUUUCGGUGUAGGAUGAGCCCGCGGCCUAUCAGCUUGUUGGUGGGGUAAUGGCCUACCAAGGCGGCGACGGGUAGCCGGACUGAGAGGUUGGUCGGCCACAUUGGGACUGGGAUACGGCCCAG